CCUCCACCUCCUGGAUUCAAGCGAUUCUCGUGCUUCAGCCUCCUGAGUAGCUGGGAUUACAGGCUGAGGGAGGUGAAUUGCUUGAACCCAGGAGGCGGAGGUUGCAGUGAGCCGAGAUUGUGCCACACACUCCAACCUGGGUGACAGAGCAAACCUCUGGCAAAAUAAAAAAAUAAAAUAAAUAAUAAUAAUAAUAGUUACCUUAAGGUGGUGAGGGGAUGGCUCAUGGUGAUUGUGGCAUGAGGGGUCUUCUGGGGGUGCUGGAAGUGUUUUAUCUUGAUCUAGUGUUAAUGGUGUGUUACAUGAAAAACUAUCCCUUAAGGGCCAAUUUUUCUUAACAAAAGAGAAAGUCAACAAAUAAAUGUGUCAUAUAUAUCGUUUUAAAAGAUGCAGGUCUAAGACCAGGGUAGCUCUGUUAACUGGCUGUGCAUCCUGGCAGGAAGUGGGGCUGGGGAGGCUGACCCUGCCCACUUUCCCUUUGAAGGGACAGGUCCUGAGUCUUUGCUCAGGGACGGAUGUGAGUUUCCAGUCCCCAGCAGCACACGCUGCUAGCAGCUCUUCUUCCUGUGUCCACCCGGCAACGCGUGGGUAGGGGCACACUUUCUCCAAGCCGCCCCUGGUUUUGAAUUGGGUGGGGUGAGUUCAGUGAAACCUUCUUAGGCUUCCCAGGGAGGAGGCCUGGGGCUAGCAGGAGGCUGGGAGGCCGGGAGAGAGAUAGAGACAUUUCUGUGCAUUUUGAUGGGUCCUGUAGAGGAUUCGCCCUGAGUGCUCAAUGAUAUGCCAGAGCAUGUCCCAAAUGCGGAGGAUGGGGAGGCCGGCUCCCUGGCAGAUCUUCAUGGAGAAGCCGACUCCAACCGGCUUGUGUGCCCACCCCAGAGGUGCGGAAGCAGAGCCGAUGCCCACACCCCCAGGGCCCAGGCCCAGCCCUUCCAAGUCCGGAGCUCACCAGCCUGCCCACCCCGGUCCUUCAUCCUCCUCCAGGCACCAUCCCUUCCUCUGUCUCUGCUUUUCCGAUCCUCUCCGCCCCUCCCUGUACUGCUCUGUCUCCACCUCCCUGCCCCUGUCUCUCCAUCUCCAUCUCUCAUUUCUCCCCCAGCCCCCCUGUGCCCCCCUUCCCCGGGCUGUGCUUCCUCUCUAGCCCAAUAUAAAUAAUAGAAAUUAAUUUGUCAGCCAGCACACGCAGCCCAGGCGGCGCAGUAGCGAGCUGAGGAGGAAAGCUGGUCGAAAUAAUUAUUCUUGACUUACGAAAUCAUUCUUUUUAUUCCUGAGGGCUAAUGGAGUGAGAGCAGCGCCGGGCCGGGCUGCGCUAAUGGCGGACAGCGUGGGCCUGGGGAGGGCGCGCGGCCUCUUCUGUCCUCCUGUAAUGAGCAGACCCCCCAUUCACAGCCCACCCCACUCUUCAUUUAAAAGGCAAAUGAAGCGUGGAGAGGCACUCUCUCGGUUAAUGCAGUCACAGGUGUGGUUUUAAACAGGAUCUGUCCUCAGGAGCACUCCCUCUGUCCCGACGUUCCCGUCUC
rnacentral:lncRNA from 1 species